rnacentral:rRNA from 1 species
AAGUCGAGGGGCAGCGCAAAGAUAGUUUACUAUUUUGGCGGCGACCGGCGCACGGGUGAGUAACGCGUAUGCAACCUACCUUAUACAGGAGUAUAGCCCGAAGAAAUUCGGAUUAAUCCUCCAUAGUAUUCUUUAAUGGCAUCAUUUGAAGAAUUAAAGCUUCGGCGGUAUAAGAUGGGCAUGCGUCCUAUUAGCUAGAUGGUAAGGUAAUGGCUUACCAUGGCUACGAUAGGUAGGGGGCCUGAGAGGGUGAUCCCCCACACUGGUACUGAGACACGGACCAGACUCCUACGGGAGGCAGCAGUGAGGAAUAUUGGGCAAUGGAGGCAACUCUGACCCAGCCAUGCCGCGUGCAGGAAGAAUGCCCUAUGGGUUGUAAACUGCUUUUAUUUAGGAAUAAACCCCUUUACGUGUAGAGGGCUGAAUGUACUAAACGAAUAAGCACCGGCUAACUCCGUGCCAGCAGCCGCGGUAAUACGGAGGGUGCAAGCGUUAUCCGGAGUCAUUGGGUUUAAAGGGUCCGCAGGCGGAUGUAUAAGUCAGUGGUGAAAUCCUGCAGCUUAACUGCAGAACUGCCAUUGAUACUGUACAUCUUGAAUUCGGUCGAAGUGGGCGGAAUGUGUAGUGUAGCGGUGAAAUGCAUAGAUAUUACACAGAACACCGAUAGCGAAGGCAGCUCACUAGGCCUGGAUUGACGCUCAGGGACGAAAGCGUGGGGAUCAAACAGGAUUAGAUACCCUGGUAGUCCACGCUAUAAACGAUGAUUACUCGUUUUCGGCGAUAUACAGUCGGAGACCAAGCGAAAGUGAUAAGUAAUCCACCUGGG